AUUGAACGCUGGCGGCAUGCCUUACACAUGCAAGUCGAACGGCAGCACGGGAGCAAUCCUGGUGGCGAGUGGCGAACGGGUGAGUAAUAUAUCGGAACGUGCCCAGUCGUGGGGGAUAACGCAGCGAAAGCUGUGCUAAUACCGCAUACGAUCUAUGGAUGAAAGCGGGGGACCGCAAGGCCUCGCGCGAUUGGAGCGGCCGAUAUCAGAUUAGCUAGUUGGUGGGGUAAGGGCCCACCAAGGCGACGAUCUGUAGCUGGUCUGAGAGGACGACCAGCCACACUGGAACUGAGACACGGUCCAGACUCCUACGGGAGGCAGCAGUGGGGAAUUUUGGACAAUGGGCGCAAGCCUGAUCCAGCGAUGCCGCGUGCAGGAUGAAGGCCUUCGGGUUGUAAACUGCUUUUGUACGGAACGAAACGGUGAGCUUUAAUACAGUUUGCUAAUGACGGUACCGUAAGAAUAAGCACCGGCUAACUACGUGCCAGCAGCCGCAGUAA
rnacentral:rRNA from 1 species